GCACUUUACGAUUUACUCCAUUGUUUUUAAAAUGUCAUGAUUCUAUUUUAUAACAACAUGUAACUGACUCAUUCAUUCAUCAAGAAAUACUCAUUGAGUUUCUGCCAUGUCUCAUCUCGAUAACUCCAAUGUUCCAUGCGUGGCCUCCUGCUUCAAAUAUAAUUAUAUAACUGAGUAGAUCUACUUACUGGAGCUGAGCUAGGGAAGAAAACCAUCCUCCUUUAUAAGCGUUGAAGCCUGUCAUGGUCUGAAUUCUGCACCCCCACAAAAAAGACAUAUUGAAGUCCUAACCCCUGACCCAAAUAGACACGAAAGAGGGAUGACAAUGUGAGAAGACAGAGGACAAACUCCCUAUGAAGUCAGAGGCAAACAUAUAAAUUAUGCCUCCUGGCACAAGCCAAGGAAAUGUCUAAGGCAAGCAGAAAUAGAAAGAAGCAAAGAGGGAUACCUUCUCCUCCAGGUUUUAGAGACAGCAUGGCCCGCUGACACCCUGAUUUGGGGCUUCUCAUCUCCAGAGCUACAAGGAUUCUAGGAGAAAUCGGUGAAAAUUAUGAUUAAUAAUAAUAGUAAUAAUAAAAAGCUAAAGGCUUCUGGAAUCAUGCAGUUUCCACUAAAGUUGACCCAUCGAAUAACAGUCCAAAAAGAGUUUACUACAAACAAGAUGGUAAGUAAAAUGAAGACAUUGUCUGUUUUUUUGUAUUGCAUAUGCAUAAGUUUCUAUCUCUAUUCUUACAUGUAUCCUUAUCCCGAUUUGUAUCUCUGUCUAAAUUUUAUCUUUAUUAGAAUUAGCUAAAUUAGGUACAAGGUAAGGAAAGCUUCAUUUUCAAUACAAAAAAAAUUUUAAUUUCAUGGAUUUAAAAAUCUAUUGUACUCAAAUGUAGUGCCACAAAGUAUAUUGCUUUAAUAAUAAUAUUAAAGUUUCAUUUUUGCACUAUCCAGUGUAAGUAUAGCCAUUAUUGAUUAUGCAGUUCUUGGGGCAAAAUCAUAAAGUUUGUAUUUUUACUCAGAAACUUUAAUGAAAUCACCAAUCGCAUCUUAGCUUUUACUUUUAAAAUAGUCAUCAAAGUAAAAUUAUCCCCUUAUAGUCAGAGUUGCAAUAUAACAAAAUGAAAACAAUUUUAGCAACAAGAUAAUGUGGGGACAAUGAAGCAUCAGAAUGGUGAUGUCAUUAUGAACAACUUUAUAUUAACUUUGUGGUUUUGAAAGCAUAUGCUAUCACCUGUUUCUAAAUAAAACUGUUAGUUUUAUCAUAAACAUGCU
rnacentral:lncRNA from 10 species